rnacentral:rRNA from 1 species
AUUGAACGCUGGCGGCAGGCCUAACACAUGCAAGUCGAGCGGAUGACGGGAGCUUGCUCCCGGAUUCAGCGGCGGACGGGUGAGUAAUGCCUAGGAAUCUGCCUGGUAGUGGGGGACAACGUUUCGAAAGGAACGCUAAUACCGCAUACGUCCUACGGGAGAAAGCAGGGGACCUUCGGGCCUUGCGCUAUCAGAUGAGCCUAGGUCGGAUUAGCUAGUUGGUGAGGUAAUGGCUCACCAAGGCGACGAUCCGUAACUGGUCUGAGAGGAUGAUCAGUAACACUGGAACUGGGACAAGGUCAAGACUCCUACGGGAGGCAGCAGUGGGGAAGAUUGGACAAUGGGCGAAAGCCUGAUCCAGCCAUGCCGCGUGUGUGAAGAAGGUCUUCGGAUUGUAAAGCACUUUAAGUUGGGAGGAAGGGCAGUAAGCGAAUACCUUGCUGUUUUGACGUUACCGACAGAAUAAGCACCGGCUAACUCCGUGCCAGCCGCCGCGGUAACAC